AUUGAACGCUGGCGGCAUGCCUUACACAUGCAAGUCGAACGGCAGCGCGGACUACGGUCUGGUGGCGAGUGGCGAACGGGUGAGUAAUAUAUCGGAACAUACCUUGUAGUGGGGGAUAACUAUCCGAAAGGAUAGCUAAUACCGCAUACGCUCUAAGGAGGAAAGCGGGGGAUCGUAAGACCUCGUGCUAUAAGAGUGGCCGAUAUCUGAUUAGCUAGUUGGUGAGGUAAAGGCUCACCAAGGCGACGAUCAGUAGCUGGUCUGAGAGGACGACCAGCCACACUGGAACUGAGACACGGUCCAGACUCCUACGGGAGGCAGCAGUGGGGAAUUUUGGACAAUGGGGGCAACCCUGAUCCAGCAAUGCCGCGUGAGUGAAGAAGGCCUUCGGGUUGUAAAGCUCUUUUGUCAGGGAAGAAACGGUUGUGGCUAACAUCCAUGGCUAAUGACGGUACCUGAAGAAUAAGCACCGGCUAACUACGUGCCAGCCGCCGCCGUAACAC
rnacentral:rRNA from 1 species